UUUAUUACAGCAGAUUAUAAAUUUUGAGAUGUGAAUGUUUUGAGGACUUUUUUUUCUUAUCUUUGCGUUUAUGCUUUGCACUGUCAGCCGUGACAGGAGCUUCUCGUUCAGUAUUGUUUACUAUUUUUAGGACCCAUUCAUAUGUUUGUGGUUCAGUUUAAUGUACGAUAAUACUGUACUAUUUCAUGGCCUGUUUCAAUUUCAUAAAAUUAUUGCAGUGUUAUUUUUAAGUGUAUUUUGUUUUGAACAGUAUCAGUAAUGUACAUUUAAUUGCCCACAACACCUUGUUCAACUUUAAAUGAGAUAUGUAUUCUAGAAGAGGCUAGGAGGAGUUUUUGUCGAUAUUAUCCUCGAUGGAGGAUGGAAAAUCAGUUCAUGAGGUCAGAUUUAAAGCUGCAGUAAAAGUAAUUAAGAGUUUACCUACUGAUGGGUCCUUUCAGCUGUCUGAUGACAUGAAGCUCAGGUUUUAUAAGUAUUAUAAUCAAGUGACAAAGGUACCUUGCAGCAUUUGCAGACUUAGCACCUGGAAUCCACUUAGAUAGUGCAAAUGAUUUUGGAAAUGAUUCCAACGACGGAUGGAGUAGAAGAGCCGAUGGAUGUCCUGGAACUGUUCCAUGAGACGGAAGAAGAUGCAGAACAGUCAGUGGGGAAGAAUAAGAGGAACACACAGGGUGUAACAAUAGGUGCAAAGAGCAGCCACCUGUUGUGGCAUCCAGUGAGCUGGGUGUUAAGGGCCUUUCUCAAGCACCGGCAGACACGCUGUGGCUGGGCUUAAACCGGUGCAUGUGGGGAGCAGAGAGAGAAAAGAGUCAGGAAGAGAGUAGGAGGGCACCAAUGGAGGACAGAAGAAGUGGAGGAACAGUGGGAAGAAUUAACUGGAGAAAGGCGCUACUGACUCACUGUUGUAAUUCCUGAUAAGAGGGAUGCUGUUAUGAAUGGGAGGGAAACCCAGAUCUGGGUUAUUUUAUUUCUCAUUAUCAAUCGGAAAGGGCACUGAUUUCGGUGGCAUGGUGUUUCGGCUGUCUGCCACGCUUUUGCUAGAGUCCUGUUACUUUCAUUGACAAGUUUAGCUUGCUUGUUCUCCGUCUUUUUGUCAGGAAGCCAUGUGCGUGAAGAAAGUGCCGAGAGAGAGGCAGACUCGGAGCCUCCGUUCCAGGCACACGGCCUUGUCCUCAGUGACGCGGCGGAGUGCGCGUCUCCUCUGUGACCAACAGCGGGGCCUCUGUAGGAGAAUUAGUCCAGAUCACUCAGCGGUCGGUGAAGGAGCUCCAUGACAUCAGCAGCUGUCGCCAUGGGUUCCAAAGAGCUCCCGAACCAACCCCUUCAGUGGACCAUAGACAGCAAACCUCUGGUGUCCUCAACAGAGAUGAACAUGCUGGACAAGAAGACAUUCAGGGACUCAAAGGGGUCCAACUUAAAGGCUCCAGGUUGUCCAGCUUGGGCUUGCUGAGUCACUGGGACACAGGGGGUGAUUGUGAACACUGCGGUAAGGAUGGCAGGACCGGGUGCUGUUUGGACAGGCAGGUGGGGACAGCACUCAUUCAGCUACAGGAGGACGGGAGGUCUGCAGCGCAGAGGCUCCACGCCCAGGAGGUUCUGACAGUGGCGCAGAAAACUGACUUGACAAUCAAAGGGCCCUUGUAAGUCUGCUCCAGUGAUGACCACCAUGCAAAUGUUUGUGAACGUUGAUCAUCUUGGAAUUAUCCAUUUCUGCCCGUAUGAACAAGAGGUUUCAGAAAAGGGACGGAUUGACUUUUCUAAAGGUCGAAACAUUUUAUCGCAGUGACAUCUAGUGGCCAAAUAUUGUUCAAUAAAACCAAUAAUUAAAAGCAAAAAAUAAAUGAAGCAUGUAUAAUUUGAACUGUGCCUGUAAUAAAUCA